AAUCACGACCUGUGUCUGUGUUGCCUCUGGGGGCUGGCCCAUGGCCAGUGGUUAAGUUCAUGAGACCCCCCUUCGGCGGCCAGGGGUUUGCUAGUUGGGAUCCUGGGCGCGGACCUACACACUGCUCAUCAAGCCAUGCUGAGGCAGCGUCCCACAUAGAAGAACUAGAAGGACCUACAACUAGAAUAUACAACUAUGUGCUGGGGCUUUGGAGAGAAAAAAAAAACCCUCACUCUUGUCCCAAAUCCUGAGGGAGCAGUGCUUCACUGCUUGUGAGGCCCGAGAUGAGAACAUCCAUGGAUUGUUCUCCCUUGAAUAAAGGACAUCAAAUGCACGUUGUUUUAGUUUUCUCAUUGACUGGACACAAUGGCAGAUGCCACUAUGGGACAAGACACUGAAGAAAGUCCUAUUACCUUCUUUUAGAGAACCAAAGAAGGAAAGGGGGUUUGCUUUAUUCCUGCCAAGGGACAGUCAGGUUAGUACUGUCAACCAUCAUGGUGGGAAAAUGGACAUGGACAACCCAGAGAGGCCAGCAGCCGACAGUCUGCAUAACUGAUAGGACCCGGCUGUGGACCCUAGGAGAGUCGAGGAAAGUCUUCCUUCUCCUACACUUUAUCCGGGGCAUCGAUUCCUUACCUUCUAUGCCUGGCUGUCUCCUCCACCACAUGCUUCAUCCUCAGGAUGAGAACUGCUUUAUGAAAACCAGAAGGCUGGAAAGUCUUGUCUAAUUUACACAGUCCCAGACAAUGAAUCUAAGAUGGAUAGAAGGAAGAAAGAAUUCUUUCCUCUCCUACCCCAGCAUUUGAGAAGACUAGAAAAGUUCAGAAGGAGAGGGCUGGCUGCCCCUGCUCCUAAUCU
rnacentral:lncRNA from 1 species